CGACCGGCGCACGGGUGAGUAACACGUAUCCAACCUGCCGAUGACUCGGGGAUAGCCUUUCGAAAGAAAGAUUAAUACCCGAUGGCAUAGUUCUUCCGCAUGGUAGAACUAUUAAAGAAUUUCGGUCAUCGAUGGGGAUGCGCUCCAUUAGGUUGUUGGCGGGGUAACGGCCCACCAAGCCUUCGAUGGAUAGGGGUUCUGAGAGGAAGGUCCCCCACAUUGGAACUGAGACACGGUCCAA
rnacentral:rRNA from 1 species